rnacentral:rRNA from 1 species
CGAUUUAGCCAUGCUAGUUGCACGAGCUUACACUCGUGGCGAAAAGCUCAGUAACACGUGGUCAAACUACCCUACAGAGAACGAUAACCUCGGGAAACUGAGGCUAAUAGUUCAUACGGGAGUCAUGCUUGAAUGCCGACUCCCCGAAACGCUCCGGCGCUGUAGGAUGUGACUGCGGCCGAUUAGGUAGACGGUGGGGUAACGGCCCACCGUGCCGAUAAUCGGUACGGGUUGUGAGAGCAAGAACCCGGAGACGGAAUCUGAGACAAGAUUCCGGGCCCUACGGGGCGCAGCAGGCGCGAAACCUUUACACUGCACGCAAGUGCGAUAAGGGGACCCCAAGUGCGAGGGCAUAUAGUCCUCGCUUUUCUCGACUGUAAGGCGGUCGAGGAAUAAGAGCUGGGCAAGACCGGUGCCAGCCGCCGCGGUAAUACCGGCAGCUCAAGUGAUGACCGAUAUUAUUGGGCCUAAAGCGUCCGUAGCCGGCCAUGAAGGUUCAUCGGGAAAUCCGCCAGCUCAACUGGCGGGCG